GGUUCCAUGCUCUAAUGGUGUGGACAUUAGUCUCUAAAUCUAGUAAUCUAAGUUCAAAUCUCGAUUGAACCU
rfam:Picea glauca, whole genome shotgun sequence.